CUUGGUCAUUUAGAGGAAGUAAAAGUCGUAACAAGGUUCCGUAGGUGAACCUGCGGAAGGAUCAUUAAAGAGAUAGGGUUUCAUGCCGACUCCACCUCUGUGUUAACUACUUGUUGCUUUGGCGGGACGUUCGGUUCCGAGCGCACUACCUCGGGUUGGUGAGCGCCGCCAGAGUCCAACCAACUCUUGUACUAAACCGGUCGUCUGAGUUAAAAUUUUGAAUAAAUCAAAACUUUCAACGACGGAUCUCUUGGUUCUCGCAUCGAUGAAGAACGCAGCGAAAUGCGAUAAGUAAUGUGAAUUGCAGAAUUCAGUGAAUCAUCGAAUCUUUGAACGCACAUUGCGCCCCCUUGGUAUUCCGAGGGGCAUGCCUGUUCGAGUGUCAUUACACCACUCAAGCUAUGCUUGGUAUUGGGCGUCGUCCUUAGUUGGGCGCGCCCUUAAAGACCUCGGCGAGGCCUCACCGGCUUUAGGCGUAGUAGAAUUUAUUCAAUUAACGUCUGUCAAUGGAGAGGACUUCUGCCGACUGAAACCUUUAUUUUUUACAGGUUGACCUCGGAUCA
rnacentral:rRNA from 1 species